rnacentral:rRNA from 1 species
GACGAACGCUGGCGGCGUGCCUAAUACAUGCAAGUCGAACGAGAGCGACCGGUGCUUGCACUGGUCAAUCUAGUGGCGAACGGGUGAGUAACACGUGGGUAACCUGCCCAUCAGAGGGGGAUAACAUCCGGAAACGGAUGCUAAAACCGCAUAGGUCUUCGAACCGCAUGGUUUGAAGAGGAAAAGAGGCGCAAGCUUCUGCUGAUGGAUGGACCCGCGGUGCAUUAGCUAGUUGGUGAGGUAACGGCUCACCAAGGCCGUGAUGCAUAGCCGACCUGAGAGGGCGAUCGGCCACAUUGGGACUGAGACACGGCCCAAACUCCUACGGGAGGCAGCAGUAGGGAAUCUUCCGCAAUGGACGCAAGUCUGACGGAGCAACGCCGCGUGAGUGAAGAAGGUUUUCGGAUCGUAAAACUCUGUUGUUAGAGAAGAACAAGUGCUAGAGUAACUGUUAGCGCCUUGACGGUAUCUAACCAGAAAGCCACGGCUAACUACGUG